CGGACAGUGUCUGGUGGGUAGUUUGACUGGGGCGGUCUCCUCCUAAAGAGUAACGGAGGAGCACGAAGGUUGGCUAAUCCUGGUCGGACAUCAGGAGGUUAGUGCAAUGGCAUAAGCCAGCUUGACUGCGAGCGUGACGGCGCGAGCAGGUGCGAAAGCAGGUCAUAGUGAUCCGGUGGUUCUGAAUGGAAGGGCCAUCGCUCAACGGAUAAAAGGUACUCCGGGGAUAACAGGCUGAUACCGCCCAAGAGUUCAUAUCGACGGCGGUGUUUGGCACCUCGAUGUCGGCUCAUCACAUCCUGGGGCUGAAGUAGGUCCCAAGGGUAUGGCUGUUCGCCAUUUAAAGUGGUACGCGAGCUGGGUUUAGAACGUCGUGAGACAGUUCGGUCCCUAUCUGCCGUGGGCGCUGGAGAACUGAGGGGGGCUGCUCCUAGUACGAGAGGACCGGAGUGGACGCAUCACUGGUGUUCGGGUUGUCAUGCCAAUGGCACUGCCCGGUAGCUAAAUGCGGAAGAGAUAAGUGCUGAAAGCAUCUAAGCACGAAACUUGCCCCGAGAUGAGUUCUCCCUGACUCCUUGAGAGUCCUGAAGGAACGUUGAAGACGACGACGUUGAUAGG
rnacentral:rRNA from 1 species